ensembl:rRNA 5S_rRNA 5S ribosomal RNA
AUCUAAGGGCAUACCACCACUCUGAACUCGCCAGAUCUUGUCUGAUCUCAGAAGUUAAGCAGGGUUGGGCCUGGCUAGUACUUGGAUGGGAGACCACCUGGGAAUACUGGGUGCUGUAGGCU